rnacentral:rRNA from 1 species
AAACUUUUAGUAUGGCGACCGGCGCACGGUGAGUAACACGUAUCCAACCUGCCUCAUACUCGGGGAGUAGCCUUUCGUAAAGAAAAGAAUUAAUACCCGACUGUCAUAGUCCUACCGCAUGAUGGGAUUAUUAAAGAAUUUCGGUAUGGGAUGGGGAUGCGUUCCAUUAGUUAGUUGGCGGGGUAACGGCCCACCAAGACAACGAUGGAUAGGGGUUCUGAGAGGAAGGUCCCCCACAUUGGAACUGAGACACGGUCCAAACUCCUACGGAAGGCAGCAG